AAAACUGGAAACCGUUCCUGGAAGUGGGGGAGACUGAUUCUCCCGAACCCGUGACGGGCGUCACAGGGUGUGACGGUCUGCUCGUCACGGGGUGGUGACGGUCUGGGGUGCUGGUGACAGCCAGGUCGAGUUGAAAGGUGACGGUCAACCCGUCACCCUGAAGCUGAAUUCUUUAGGACUUCUUCCUUUCUUCGCUUUCUCGCCGAAUUUCGUCAUUUUUGCGCAUGGAGGCCUUUAUUGCUGUGUACCUGAAACAUAGCCGUACAACCCAACAUAACAUAGAAAAAACAAGAGAAUUUACGCCUAAACUACACGCAAAACGAGCUGAAAUGAUGUUGUAUUUUGCAUGUUAUCAAACUCCCCUAAACUUGAACCAUUGCUUGUCCUCAAGCAAUUUUUAGCUUGCAUUAACAAAUAAAUUGCAGCAAUUCAUACAGACAGAAUUUAAGAAGAAAUAGCAUCACAAGUGAUUGCAAGCGGUUUUAAAAAUCGGAUUGAUUGAGUGUUAAUUCUCUUGGUACUAAAAUCAACUCAAAAGACAUUGUAACAACACAUACCGCAUUAAGCGGGAAAAAGUCUCCCUCCUAUCAUACAAAUUCAGAUCAUGCCAUUGUACCUUAGUCUCUCAUCUAUGUUUCAUUCAUCCUUUUUGAUUCUAGACAAUCACAUUAAGACCCUUUAUCUUAUCACACACAUGGUAGGAAAACCGGUUAGCGUCGUUUUAACACAUCUUUCUUUGAAUUUGCACAUUUUGCGCAUAGAUGCAUUUAUGAAUAGAUAUUCAAGGUUAACUAGGUUGCCCUUUAUUCAAGGUUAACCAUUAUUGGUCCCUUUAUUAAGUUCGCGCUUAUAUUCAUCGACCAACCUACUUAAUGUGUGAUUUAUUAGAUGGUGUCUGACUGGCUAAAUGAACUACUUGAGGAUUAUUAUGAAACAACAGUUUGAGACUACGGCACAAUAGGUACCUAAAUUUGCAUCCAUAUUCGGGAGACCAAGGGUGUUGGGACAAUACCAAUUUAGGCAAAGUUUUCCCAAAAUCCUUAACACACAAUCUCUCUGACUCCGCAAACCCAUUACUUCCUAUGUGAACUAAACACUUCUUAAAACUUUGGAAAAAUUUUCAUUGGUUCAAGAGUGGGAGAAUCGAAUAAUCAUAGCAAAUACAUAAAGAUAGUGACUCGACAGUGCAUCCAGUUGACAACAACCCUACUUAUUACCAAAGGAAAUCCUAAAACUAGAAAGCACUCUAUGAAAAUAGCGCAUAAGAUGAUCCCGUUCUGCAUCCCGGUCAUUCCUCUCCUGUUGGGCUGCUCGUAGGUCUGCUACCUCAAGACGUAGAGCGUUAAGCUCAUAUUCAAUCCGGCUCUGGGAAGCAGAAGUACCUGCAGAAAAAUCAGAGUCUAUAUGAAGGGAAGGGGGUGGGUCAGAGUGUGUGUGUGUGUGUAAGGUGCACUGGACAUGUGAGGAUGAGGUGCAUGUGCGUGCGGGGGAGAAAGCCUAGUCUGACGCUCGAUCUCCGCAUCGGUAUCCCCUACUUCCUCAUCCGGGACAACAUAAAUCCAAUUUUCCUCAUCCCUAAAAUCAGUAAUGGUGGGGUUUGGAAGCUUAAUUCGGCUCUCGACCUCAUUUCGGAUCAUUAAACAGAACACCUCACCCUCUCUCUUGACGAGCUUUUGUGCUAGGCACGAGCCCAAGUCAAUCAACAUGUUGCCCUGCACAGGGGCUAACGGUAUGAUAUGCUUACUGAAACCUAACGUAUAUGCGAUCGAGGUGAUGAGGCCACCGAAACCAAUGGGUCCAUUACCGGAGGUGGCCAUCCUGAACAUGUGAGCGAGCAUAAAAGCUGCUAAAUUAACCUGCUUAAGAGCAAAAACACAAUGAACAAUGUAAAGUUCUCUUAAAUUAACUACCCCCGUGCUAUCCCCUCUCCCAAAAAUAGUGUGCGCGAGCACUCUAUGAAAAUAGCGAAUGGCGAGGUUAUGGAUGCGGGACGCUUUAUUACCGUCCGCAGAAGUGGCCAAUGCACCCGUCAGUUGCUUCCAAAACUGACCGUACUCGGUAGUCCAAGGUCCCAGAGACGGAACCCCAUCAAUGGAUUGAAGGGAGGUCCGGAAGUGAAGCAAAUUUCCUAUUUCAUUAUGGCUAAGCAAGUAAUCCUGGCCAAACAGUCUAAAACUAGUACCUCCGAAACCGUUACGGACUCUCAGAGCAUACGUGUAAAUAAGGGAACUAAGAAACUCUAGAGUGAUGCGCUCGUACGUCGGGUGCCGCAGAGUCAAAAAGUGACCCCACCCGAUUUGGUUAAACAUCCAAUUUACGCUAUCAAAUAAUCCUAAAGUUCUGAGACAAGUUUCAUCAGCAUACCUCGUUGCCGUGUUCGUGCGUUUGGACAGUUUUUCGAACUGUGUUCACUGCGCGUCAUCCUUAAACUCAAUUCCCAUGUAGUCAAUGCGCGGAUUUCGAGCGGCCAUGUCUUGUGAACAACCUGAAUCCCGAACCCAACAUAGAUGUUUUGCAAAAAGGAACAAAAAAAUGGGUUAAGUGGUGUUUAUGUUAUGCAUUUCGGAUUUGGGGUUUUUGUGUUAUGAAUUUGAUGAGAGGUGAAUGAAUUUGGUAAUGGGUGUUGUUAAUUUGUAGUGGAGUUUUUGAUAUGGAAUGAGGAAAAUAAAGCAGAAGGUUCGAAUGUGGGAGAAAAAGGGAAGAGAAAAAAUGAAAGGGUUUUAAGUGAAUAGAUGGGGGGAAAUGUGUGGGACCCACGGUCUGUUCAGAUUCUCUAUCAAGGUGACGGGCUUCACGAAGGGGCGACGGUCGAAUCGUCUAAAAUAAAGAAGGACGGGCGUCGCAGGCCAUCAUGGGAUAGUCGACAACAACAAAGACGGCCGUCAACCAAAAAUGACCAGCAGACCGUCGGAAACUAUGACGGUCGUCACAAAUGAUGACGGUCAACCCGUCGUUGACUUAUGAAAUAAAAACUUUAAUCCUCCAUCGAACGAUUGAAACUUAUUGAACUAAAAACUUGCUGAAAGAAAAAAAUGAAACAAUGGGUUGCCUCCCAUGCAGCGCUUCGUUUUAUGUCGGUAGCUCGACAGUUCAGAGUGGCAACAUUCAAGUGGGACACAUAACAAGAGUAGCGACAUGUCCUACUUUCUCUGUUGGGUGGUAGUGCUUUAAUCUUUGGCCAUUUACUACGAAUUUACCAGUGGAUUCGCUCCAGACCUCAAUGGCACCAGAUUGAUUUACUUUAGUGACUUCGAAUGGUCCACUCCAUCGAAAGCGAAGCUUUCCAGGAAACAGCCUUAACCUAGAAUUAAACAGCAACACUAUCUCACCUUCAUUAAAUUCUCGUCUUAUAAUGCGUCUGUCAUGCCAUUUCUUUGUUCGUUCUUUAUAGAUCAAGGCAUUUUCAUACGCAUCGAGCCGCAACUCCUCUAACUCAUGAAGAUCCAGCAUCCUUUUCCCCCCAAUGGGUGUUUUAUAGGCGGUCCGAUAAGCCCAUAAUGCAUCGUUCAGCUUCAAGGACCAGUCCUUUCUUGAGACAGAGACAGUUUUCUCUAGGAUUUGCUUAAUUUCUCGAUUAGAGAUUUCUGCCUGCCCAUUUGUUUGAGGAUGAUAGGGAGUAACUGCUCUGUGACGUACCCCGUACUUUGUUAGGAGAUUUUUAAAUAUUUUUGAAAUAAAAUAAGAUCCUCCGUCACUGAUGACUAGUCUGGGGACACCAAAUCUUGGGAAUAUAAUGUUUUUAAACAUCUUUACCACUACUUUUGUAUCACAGGUAGGAGAGGCAAUGGCCUCGAUCCAUUUUGACACGUAAUCCACAGCAAUGAGUAUGUAUUUAUUUCCCAUAGAUGAAGGAAAAGGACCCAUAAAGUCAAUUCCCCAGACAUCGAAAACUUCCACCUCUAGGAUAAACUUUUGUGGCAUUUCAUUCCUGCUAGAGAUGUUUCCGGAUCGCUGGCACCGGUCACAUUCUGAAACGAAAACAUGAACAUCUCGAAAGAUGGUGGGCCAAUAGAGCCGAGCUUGAAGUAUUUUUGCUGCAGUUUUCAAUUUAUUCAUGUGUCCUUUAACGGGAGAGGAGUGACAGUGUGUGAUGACACUCUCUAUUUCCUCUUCUGGGAUACAUCGACAGAAGAUACCGUCCACUCCUCUUUUGAAUAAGAGGGGAUCAUCCCAGUAGUAUUGCUUAAGAUCGUGGAAGAAUUUAGUAUAAAAGAUUGUCACACCCAUAGAGACCAAUGUCAAGUACAGUAAUUAAUUGUUACGUUGUUUAUCAAAGGCGUUUGUAAAUGAUAUGGGUGCAAAAAUUGGGAAAAUAACUUGUUUUUAAUUACUUUUAAAUGACGAGAGCCCGAAAUAUAAUUCGUGUUGUCCGUUGAUACUUGCUAAAUUGUAUUUUAUUAUUGUAACAAGACAAUAUUUUCGCGUGUAAAAAGAAUUAAUUUAAAGGGGUCGUCAGCUGUCGCAUAUACGACAUCUUAUUUCGACGUUGUAAUCUAUUCGACAGCUUUCGCGUGUACGUCUUACAAUUUCAAAACUCCGUUUGAAAAUUUAAUCAAUUUACGUGCGAAAAGUUAUUUUUAGUAGAAAAACAAACUUAAAGGCACCGUCGACUUACGCACGUCCGUUACCGUAUUUUAAACUCACAAGCGUCAGCUUUCGCAUGUACGACCGCAAGUUUAAAAUAGCCUUUUUGAAAAUUUGAAAUUUCUAAAUUAAAGAAAACGCUCUCGCUGUAUUUCAAAACCAAUUCCUAAAAAUUCUACAGUCAGAUACAAGUUUCGCUCUUUCGAUAUGAAACCGGUAUCACUUUAUUUCAACUUUGAUUGUAAAUAUUAAUUGUUUAAAAUCAGAAUUUUUAGACUUUAAAAAUAAUUCCUGUUACAAUUUCUAAUCAUGUAAAUUAACAGAGCACCAUUAGUACAACAUUCAUCACAUUCCGGACUCUAUGGAAAUCUACUCAGGCAUGGGAUAUAUAAUAAAUAAACAAAUGUUCAUGCUAUUCGUCAUUAUUGAAACAAUGAAUUAAAAGAACAGAAUGAAUGAAAAUAAGCUAAUUAAGCAAAAACCUGUAGAUGAUGGUUACUCUAGAAAAAGGGGGAAAUAAAAAGAAACCGCUGCAACAGAGAACAACAACAAUCCAAUUUAACGAACACCAAUUCCAAACCGCAGCAACAAGGAAAUAAAUAACACGGCAGCAGCUUAUUUUGGAAUUAGAACAACAAUGACUGAAUUUGGAAUAUAGUAAUAAUAGUAAUGAUAUAUAGAUAAUAAUUGAAAUAAAACAGUACGAUUGUAUCGUACUGUGAAUGAAAAGGAAACUGAAACUUAGGAUUACAAUCAGUUAUGAAUUUCUAAUGCUUGCCUAAAAACUUCUCUCCGCAGCUCUUCCUCUCUGGACCUAUUUAUAGGCCAAGCUUCUUUUACAACGUAUUAUGAUCGUGCCUCUGCAGGUGGAGGGAGUGGGAGAGAAAACUGGAAACCGUUCCUGGAAGUGGGGCAGACUGAUUCUCCCGAACCCAUGACGGGCGUCACAGGGUGCGACGGUCUUAUCGUCACGGGGUGGUGACGGUCUGCGGUGCUGGUGACAGCCAGGUCGAGUUGAAAGGUGACGGUCAACCCGUCACAGGGUGUGACGGCCGUCACCCUGAAGCUGAAUUCUUUAGGACUUCUUCCUUUCUU
rnacentral:lncRNA from 1 species